rnacentral:tRNA from 1 species
GAGAUGGCUCAGUGGUUAAGAGCACUGACUGUUCUUCCAGAGGUCUAGAGUUCAAAUCCCAGCAAUCACA